rnacentral:tRNA from 1 species
GGAAUGUAGCUUAGUGGUAGAGUGCUUGCUUAGAAUGCAUGAAGUCUUGGGUUCAACUCCCCAAUACCA